rnacentral:rRNA from 1 species
UACGUAGGGUGCGAGCGUUAAUCGGAAUUACUGGGCGUAAAGCGUGCGCAGGCGGUUCGUUAUGUCCGCUGUGAAAUCCCCGGGCUCAACCUGGGAACUGCAGUGGAAACUGGCGAGCUGGAGUCCGGCAGAGGGGGGUGGAAUUCCACGUGUAGCAGUGAAAUGCGUAGAGAUGUGGAGGAACACCGAUGGCGAAGGCAGCCCCCUGGGCCGAGACUGACGCUCAGGCACGAAAGCGUGGGGAGCAAACAGG